rnacentral:rRNA from 1 species
ACGGGCGGAGUGUACAAGGCCCGGGAACGUAUUCACCGCGACAUUCUGAUUCGCGAUUACUAAGCGAUUCCAGCUUCAUGUAGUCGAGUUGCAGACUACAAUCCGAACUGAGACGUUAUUUUUGAGAUUUGCUCGGCCUCGCGGCUCUGCCUCCCUUUGUUUACGCCAUUGUAGCACGUGUGUAGCCCUGCCCAUAAGGGGCAUGAUGAUUUGACGUCAUCCCCACCUUCCUCCAGGUUAUCCCUGGGCAGUCUCUCCAGAAGUGCCCAGCCGAACUGCUGGCUACUGAAGAUAAGGGUUGCGCUCGUUGCGGGACUUAANCCAACAUCUCACGAAACGAGCUGGACGAAAACCAAGCACCAACUGUCUCCGGAUNGCUCCCAAAGAGAAGGGAACAUUA